rnacentral:misc_RNA from 1 species
ACACCAUUUGGCUGGUUGCUUCGAGACCGUUCUACAUUACCCCCACUAGACUUUCCCCUGUCGGAUGUGACCCUUCCGCCUCCAUUGCCAGAUUAUGUUGAACCUGGUAAGACCAAGAUCACAACUCUGCCAAAUGGUGUAAAAGUAGCAUCAGAAACAUCACCGGAUCCUGCCGCAUCAAUAGGUCUAUAUGUUGAUUGUGGUUCAAGUUAUGAGACUCCAGAAACUUUUGGUUCUACCCAUCUGCUGGAACGUAUGGCCUUUAAAAGCACAAGAAAUCGUAGCCACUUACGUGUUGUGCG